AGGGUUUGGAUCAUGGCUCAGAAUGAACGCUGGCGGCGUGCCUAACACAUGCAAGUCGAACGAGAAAGUGGACUUCGGUCCGCAAGUAAAGUGGCAUACGGGUGAGUAACACGUGGGUAACCUGCCCGGAGGUGGGGGACAACUCUUCGAAAGGGGAGCUAAUACCGCAUAACAUCCCGAGCACUUCGGUGCAUGGGAUCAAAGUUUGCCUCUGUUUCAUGCAAACGCCACCGGAGGGACCCGCGCCCCAUUAGCUUGAUGGUGAGGUAACGGCUCACCAUGGCUACGAUGGGUAGCCGGCCUGAGAGGGUGAUCGGCCACACUGGAACUGAGACACGGUCCAGACUCCUACGGGAGGCAGCAGUGAGGAAUUUUGCGCAAUGGGCGAAAGCCUGACGCAGCGACGCCGCGUGGAGGAAGAAGGCCUUCGGGUCGUAAACUCCUGUCAAGAGGGACGAAUCCCUAUCGAAUGAGUAAGUCGGUAGGUUGACGGUACCUCUGAANGAAGCCCCGGCUUAACUCCGUGCCAGCAGCCGCGGUUAAUACGGAGGGGGCAAGCGUUGUUCGGAAUUAUUGGGCGUAAAGGGCACGUAGGCGGUCAAGCAAGUCGGUGGUGAAAGCCCUCGGCUCAACCGAGGAAUUGCCCCCAAAACUGCUC
rnacentral:rRNA from 1 species